AUUGAACGCUGGCGGCAUGCCUUACACAUGCAAGUCGAGCGGCAGCGCGGGGGCAACCCUGGCGGCGAGCGGCGAACGGGUGAGUAAUGCAUCGGAACGUGUCCUCUUGUGGGGGGUAACCAGUCGAAAGACUGGCUAAUACCGCAUGAGAUCGAGAGAUGAAAGCAGGGGACCGCAAGGCCUUGCGCGAGAGGAGCGGCCGAUGCCGGAUUAGCUAGUUGGUGGGGUAAAAGCCUACCAAGGCGACGAUCCGUAGCUGGUCUGAGAGGACGACCAGCCACACUGGGACUGAGACACGGCCCAGACUCCUACGGGAGGCAGCAGUGGGGAAUUGUGGACAAUGGGGGCAGCCCUGAUCCAGCCAUGCCGCGUGUGUGAAGAAGGCCUUCGGGUUGUAAAGCACUUUCGGACGGAACGAAAUCGCGCGGGUGAACAUCCCGCGUGGAUGACGGUACCGUAAGAAGAAGCACCGGCUAACUACGUGCCAGCCGCCGCCGUAA
rnacentral:rRNA from 1 species